rnacentral:rRNA from 1 species
GACGAACGCUGGCGGCGUGCUUAACACAUGCAAGUCGAACGGAAAGGUUCCAGCUUGCUGGAGUACUCGAGUGGCGAACGGGUGAGUAACACGUGGGUAAUCUGCCCUGCACUCUGGGAUAAGCCUGGGAAACUGGGUCUAAUACUGGAUAUGACCUUUCUCCUUAUGGGGUUUGGUGGAAAGUUUUUCGGUGUAGGAUGAGCCCGCGGCCUAUCAGCUUGUUGGUGGGGUGAUGGCCUACCAAGGCGACGACGGGUAGCCGGCCUGAGAGGGUGAUCGGCCACAUUGGGACUGAGAUACGGCCCAGACUCCUACGGGAGGCAGCAGUGGGGAAUAUUGCACAAUGGGCGGAAGCCUGAUGCAGCGACGCCGCGUGAGGGAUGACGGCCUUCGGGUUGUAAACCUCUUUCAGCAGGGACGAAGCGUAAGUGACGGUACCUGCAGAAGAAGCACCGGCUAACUAUGUG